rnacentral:rRNA from 1 species
CGGGUGCACUGAUCCAGCCGGGCCUUUCCCUCUGUGGAACCCCAUGGCCUUCACUGGCUGUGGUGGGGAAACAGGACUUUUACUUUGAAAAAAUUAGAGUGCUCCAGGCAGGCCUAUGCUCGAAUACAUUAGCAUGGAAUAAUAGAAUAGGACGUGCGGUCCUAUUUUGUUGGUUUCUAGGACCGCCGUAAUGAUUAAUAGGGAUAGUCGGGGGCAUCAGUAUUCAAUUGUCAGAGGUGAAAUUCUUGGAUCUAUUGAAGACUAACUACUGCGAAAGCAUUUGCCAAGGAUGUUUUCAUUGAUAAGGAACGAAAGUUAGGGGAUCGAAGACGAUCAGAUACCGUCGUAGUCUUAACUAUAAACUAUGCCGACUAGGGAUCGGACGAUGUUAUUUCUUGACGCGUUCGGCACCUUUCGAGAAACCAAAGUGCUUGGGCUCCAGGGGGAGUAUGGUCGCAAGGCUGAAACUUAAAGAAAUUGACGGAAGGGCACCACCAGGGGUGGAACCUGCGGCUUAAUUUGACUCAACACGGGGAAACUCACCAGGUCCAGACACAGUGAGGAUUGACAGAUUGAGAGCUCUUUCUUGAUUCUGUGGGUGGUGGUGCAUGGCCGUUCUUAGUUGGUGGAGUGAUUUGUCUGCUUAAUUGCGAUAACGAACGAGACCUUAACCUGCUAAAUAGCCCGUACUGCUCUGGCAGUUCGCCGGCUUCUUAGAGGGACUAUCGG